CUAGCCCUAGGCCGAGCUUAGUUUCUGGUUGCAAACCGUACGGAAUCCCCUUUCCUCCCUCUCUUGCCACGAACCCUUCGCCGUCGCCGGCGAUCCCACCGACUCCCGGCCGCCUCUGCUUCCCCGGCGAUGUCUCUUCUUAGCACUGCGCCGUCAACGCGCGUUGCCCGGUCUAUGCGUCGCCUUCAGUUCUCCCUGCGUCCUUGUGAGACCCGAGCCGCAAAUCCAGGCCCCAAGCGAGAUGCCAUGCCGAGCCGCAGGAUUGACAGAACUCGGGGAGAUCUCCUGAUCCGGUGGUUGUUCAGUUCGCUGCCCCCUCCUUGCAUUGAUAAAGGAUUUUCUUGCAAGCCACUAGCUACGGACCCAUGAAUUACUGAAAUAGUGCAGCCAGGAGUACUCUGCACACCAUGGUUUGAUGGAGAUAUAUCAUAGCAACAACUGAACACGAAUGCCAGAUAAGGAUGUUAGAGCGAGUUGAGGUUGAUUGCGGGUUAACUUAUCAAGGGUUCCACAUAUCAACUCUUGUAUCUACUGAUCAUUCAUUGAAGCAACCACAGAUCUAGCUGCAGCUCCUGUUGUAUCAGUUAACAAAAGCAAUACUCAGGAUUGGUUGUCAACUGGCUCUCCUGCAGUUCCAGGAUGAACCAGGACAGUAUCGAAAAUGCAGCCACAAAAUCUGACAAGUCAGUAAUGCCAGAAGGGAAUGUGAUUCCUAUGGACUCAGCGACUGAAGUAUAAUAUGGUCUGACGUGUUUACUUCUAUGGCCUCAUGAGUCACUUGAUACUGUUGAGUAGGCUGGACCGGGUAUUGGAAUGGAGCCUCUGGAGACGAUCCUGCAGUCCAAGGGAAGCACAUACAUGCAUAGCCGAGCAUCCACCAAAUAUGAGAAGUGACUUGCCUCACUGGGGCAGGAGAUUGGGCCGGUGAUAUAAUCGGCGUUGUUCAUGAAAGCGUAGCCAUCGACUGGAGAAGUACCAUUUGGUGUGAACUCUUUUGAACAGCGUACUAUUUUUGCAGGAGCCCAGCUGUAUAAUUUACAUCUAUGGUAGUCGUAAGGCUGUAGAUUGUCAAAGAUGAGCUUCUGAAGCGGGCAUGGAGACGAGGAGUACACAAGCGGGAUGAUGCUCAUGAUGGCCUCCUUGUAAUCUAUGGAGGUGACC